GCGUCUGUAGUACAACGGUUCAGUACGCGCUCAUGGAAAGAGGGAGAUCUGGGUUCGAAUCUCAGCUGACGCA